CCACCACCUCGUGACCGGCUGAAAACUGCAGCCCUCGGCACGUGGAGCUGCUGGAAUUGCUCAUUUCUGACGAGAAACUGCCUUAGGCUGACUCCAUCACAAAAAUAGAAUUCACAAUUUCAAAAAACCUUAUAUCACCUCUUUCAACAAAAAAAAGCACUUAUAUAGAAAAAGGACGCGCAAAAAGUUUGUCGCCCUCGCCUUAUUGCCGAAAAUAGAGAGAAUUAGAGUAACCAAGACGCCACAAAGGAAAAGAAGGGCCAGAGAACCUGCUGCUCCCCCCUCCCCGUGCCCUGCCCGCCGCUGCCCCGCGGCCCAGGCUCCUGUCACCAUCUCAGCAUCCUUUAAGCAACAACAACUACAUAAAACAGAAGGGAGGAGGAGGAGGAGGAGGAGGAGGGGAGGUGGGAAAGAAAAAGCAAAAGAAACCCCUUAAUAUAACAGUUACACUAUGGUUAGGCUCUUGCUACAUACACAAAGAAUUGCGACUAUGUGGCUACGAGACUAUGUCCAAAAGGCUACGAAAAGAUGUGGGUUUGGAGAGGCUUAAAAAGAGGGGGGGGAACCCACCGAGAAAAUAAAACGAACAAGAAAUGGGUUUUAUAUACAUACUUUUAAAAGCUGUUGUUUUUAUAGUACAGCAGAUUCAUGAGAUGAUGAGAGAGAUUUUAAACCACCCAAGUCCUUCGAGUGCCACCUCCAGUUUGCGUUGGCGGUGAUGAUGAUGAUGGUGAUGGUGAUGAUGAUGUAGUGCUCAAAGUCUGAUGAGAUCACCCAACCGUGGGCCCCUUCAGAAACUUCGCCCUGUCUUGCCCGGACAUCCAGAGAGACUCUGCGUGGAGAGAGGGUGGACAUGGACACAGAGAGGGAGUUAAUUGAGGUAAAUUAGGAUUUUUAACCAAAAAACCCCAAAGUGUCUGCAAACACUGCAGCCACAGC